rnacentral:rRNA from 1 species
AGUAAUGGUAGGCUCAUUUCGAGGGCUAAGCCAUGCAAGUGCAAGUACGCUUGCUAAAACGCUUAACCGCGCGAGCCUCGAGCCUUCCUGGGACCGAGGACCAUCCGCAGUUUAGUCAGACCGAGUCGACUGCGUACGGCUCAGUAGACUCGUCAUAAUGGACGUUGGUAGAAUCGUAUCAACGAGGUUUGGAUAACGGUGACAAAUUUAGCGCUAAUACAUUUAUGUCGCUAGUUAUCUAGGCAGUUCGCUGCUUAACUUGGCUGCAGUCGGGGAGGGCUAAAGCGCCGCGAGCGGUAAAACGCUUCGGCGCGUGCAAUCCCGGAGAGGGGCUGUAGUCGGAUCUUGUCGUCCAUUAAGACAAGACGCCUCAACACCGGAGGCGAGCUUAUCAGGCCUGAUGCGCGCAUCAGGUUCUUGCCUAGCUGUUACGAGUAACGGGGUAUCAGGGUACGAUACCGGAGAGGGAGCCUUAAAAACGGCUACCACUACCAAGGAAGGCAGCAGGCGCGCAACUUACCCAAUACCGACACGGUGAGGUAGUAAAAAGGAGUGACAUUGCGAAGAUCCUCUCGAGAGGCUUCGUUAUUGGAUUGCAAACAAUCCAAAUACAAUAAAAAGUUACUGGAGGGCAAGUCUGGUGCCAGCAGCCGCGGUAAUUCCAGCUCCAGUGGCCUACGUUAAUUUUGCUGCGGUUAAAAAGCUCGUAGUCAAGUUUGCGUUUGGUCGCGUCGGCAGUAUGAUUCUUAGGAAUCGCUCUGGCGCGCCGAACGUCAGGUUCGUAGCGUGCGAUCGAUCUGGUCGCCUCGCGCUUCCAGCUGAGAUCGGACAACGGACCACAUUACUUANNNNNNNNNNNNNNNNNNNNNNNNNNNNNNNNNNNNNNNNNNNNNNNNNNNNNNNNNNNNUCCUUCGGUCAAGAACGAAAGUCAGAGGUUCGAAGGCGAUUAGAUACCGCCCUAAGUUCUGACCUUAAACGAUGUUAACCAGUUAUCCGCCAUAGUAUAGACUACUUGGUGGGCAGCUUCCGGGAAACCUAGAGUGUUUCAGUUCCGGGGGUAGUAUGGUUGCAAAGCUGAAACUUAAAGGAAUUGACGGAAGGGCACCACCAGGAGUGGAGCCUGCGGCUUAAUUUGACUCAACACGGGGAACCUCACCAGGUCCGGACAUGAUUGCGAUGGACAGAUCGAUAGCUCUUUCUAGAUCUCAUGGAUGGUGGUGCAUGGCCGUUCUUAGUUCGUGGAGCGAUUUGUCUGGUUAAUUCCGAUAACGAGCGAGACUCUACCUUACUAACUAAGACGUACGAUAUACGCGAGGUUCGUCGUUCGGUGCGUCGUCGCGCGUGCUGCUUCGGUGGUGCGUGUGCGGCGUGUCGGCGCGGGCCAUGCUAUCGGCGCAAAUGUUUUCUUCUUAGAAGAACAAGCUAUACAUAGUAGCACGAGAGAGAGCAAUAACAGGUCUGUGAUGCCCUUAGAUGUCCUGGGCCGCACGCGUGCGACAAUGAAAGAGUCAAUAGGUGUCCUAGGCCGAAACGUCCGGGUAAUCCUAGCAAUCUCUUUCGUGUUGGGGAUUGGGGCUUGAAAGUGCUUCCCAUGAACGAGGAAUUCCCAGUAAGCGCAGUUGAUCAAUCUGCGCUGAUUGAGUCCCUGCCCUUUGUACACACCGCCCGUCGCUACUACCGAUGAGCGGGCUAGCGAGAUCUUCGGACUGGCGCCUCGAAAGAGGUCGUUACCAGAAAGUCGAUCAAACUUGCCCGUUUAGAGGAAGUAAAA